CGCAGCCGCGGUAAUUCCAGCUCCAAUAGCGUAUAUUAAAGUUGUUGCAGUUAAAAAGCUCGUAGUUGAAUUUCGGGAUUGACGUGAUGGUCAUGCCUUAAGGGGUACGAACUGUUACUGUUGAUUUCUCACCUUCUGGAGAAACUUGAUGUCCUUUAUUGGGUGUCUUGCGGAUCCAGGACCUUUACCUUGAAAAAUUAGAGUGUUUAAAGCAGGCAUUUUUGCUCGAAUACAUUAGCAUGGAAUAAUAGAAUAGGACGGCAUGGUUCUAUUUUGUUGGUUUCUAGGAUCACCGUAAUGAUUAAUAGGGAUAGUUGGGGGCAUUAGUAUUCAAUUGUCAGAGGUGAAAUUCUUAGAUUUAUUGAAGACUAACUACUGCGAAAGCAUUUGCCAAGGAUGUUUUCAUUAAUCAAGAACGAAAGUUAGGGGAUCGAAGACGAUCAGAUACCGUCGUAGUCUUAACCAUAAACUAUGCCGACUAGGAAUCAGACGAUGUUAAUUUUUA
rnacentral:rRNA from 1 species